rnacentral:rRNA from 1 species
UGCGUAGGCGGCUUUUUAAGUCGGAUGUGAAAUCCCCGAGCUUAACUUGGGGAAUUGCAUUCGAUAUUGGGAAGCUAGAGUAUGGGGAGAGGAUGGUAGAAUUCCAGGUGUAGCGGUGAAAUGCGUAGAGAUCUGGAGGAAUACCGAUGGCGAAGGCAGCCAUCUGGCCUAAUACUGACGCUGAGGUACGAAAGCAUGGGGGAGCAAACA